GGUUCAAACAAUACAGAAGUGUAUAAAGUAAGAAUUGAAAGUCUCUUCGCUGCUCUAAUCUCACUCCUCAGAGGUGAUCACUGAUUAUCAUCCCAGAGCCCUCCCUGAAGCCCACACACAGCUUCUUCAGGAAAUGCUGACAGCAUGUGUGGAAGAUGAUCAAAGUAUGACAUUUCUUCUACCCCAGAGGCUGGCAUUUCUGCAGGCACAAAUGAGCUUGGUUUUCAAGCACUGCUCUUUGAACACAAGGAAUUCCUUUAAUGAUCACGCCGGACUAUAUAGACUUUGGAAUCAGACUCUUUGAAUUCCAGCUCUGCCAUUUACCAACUUUGACACUUUGGACAACGUCUCAUUCUGUCACCCAGGCUGGAGUGCAGUGGCACAAUUAUAGCUCACUGCAGCCUCAAACACCUGGGCUCAAGCAAUCCUUCCACCUCUGCCUCCUGAGUAAUUGGGACUACAGGUAUUAUGUUUCUAUUAAUGCAGUCUAAAGGGUUUUGGAAAUCUGGAUUGUAGCAGGGCAUUGUAAGU
rnacentral:lncRNA from 10 species